rnacentral:rRNA from 1 species
ACGCUGGCGGCGUGCCUAAUACAUGCAAGUAGAACGCUGAAGGAGGAGCUUGCUUCUCUGGAUGAGUUGCGAACGGGUGAGUAACGCGUAGGUAACCUGCCUGGUAGCGGGGGAUAACUAUUGGAAACGAUAGCUAAUACCGCAUAACAGUAGAUGUUGCAUGACAUUUGCUUAAAAGGUGCAAUUGCAUCACUACCAGAUGGACCUGCGCUGUAUUGGCUAGUUGGUGGGGUAACGGCUCACCAAGGCGACGAUACAUAGCCGACCUGAGAGGGUGAUCGGCCACACUGGGACUGAGACACGGCCCAGACUCCUACGGGAGGCAGCAGUAGGGAAUCUUCGGCAAUGGACGGAAGUCUGACCGAGCAACGCCGCGUGAGUGAAGAAGGUUUUCGGAUCGUAAAGCUCUGUUGUAAGAGAAGAACAGGUGUGAGAGUGGAAAGUUCACACUGUGACGGUAUCUUACCAGAAAGGGACGGCUAACUACGUGCCAGCAGCCGCGGUAAUACGUAGGUCCCGAGCGUUGUCCGGAUUUAUUGGGCGUAAAGCGAGCGCAGGCGGUUAGAUAAGUCUGAAGUUAAAGGCUGUGGCUUAACCAUAGUACGCUUUGGAAACUGUUUAACUUGAGUGCAAGAGGGGAGAGUGGAAUUCCAUGUGUAGCGGUGAAAUGCGUAGAUAUAUGGAGGAACACCGGUGGCGAAAGCGGCUCUCUGGCUUGUAACUGACGCUGAGGCUCGAAAGCGUGGGGAGCAAACAGGAUUAGAUACCCCUGGUAGUCCACGCCGUAAACGAUGAGUGCUAGGUGUUAGACCCUUUCCGGGGUUUAGUGCCGCAGCUAACGCAUUAAGCACUCCGCCUGGGGAGUACGACCGCAAGGUUGAAACUCAAAGGAAUUGACG